rnacentral:rRNA from 1 species
UACGAAGGGGGCUAGCGUUGCUCGGAAUCACUGGGCGUAAAGGGUGCGUAGGCGGGUCUUUAAGUCAGGGGUGAAAUCCUGGAGCUCAACUCCAGAACUGCCUUUGAUACUGAGGAUCUUGAGUUCGGGAGAGGGUGAGUGGAACUGCGAGUGUAGAGGUGAAAUUCGUAGAUAUUCGCAAGAACACCAGUGGCGAAGGCGGCUCACUGGCCCGGUACUGACGCUGAGGUGCGAAAGCGUGGGGAGCAAACAGG